rnacentral:rRNA from 1 species
GGGGAAUCUUCCGCAAUGGGGGCAACCCUGACGCAGCGACGCCGCGUGGAGGAGGACGGCCUUCGGGUUGUAAACUCCUUUUGACGAGGAAGAAACAAAUGACGGUACUCGUCGAAUAAGCCCCGGCUAACUCCGUGCCAGCAGCCGCGGUAAUACGGGGGGGGCGAGCGUUGUCCGAAGUUACUGGGCGUAAAGCGCGCGUAGGCGGGUGGCUAAGUCCGCUGUGAAAGCCCGAGGCUUAACCUCGGUAGGUCGGUGGAUACUGGUCGUCUUGAAGAUGCUAGAGGGAGAUGGAAUUACCGGUGUAGCGGUGAAAUGCGUAGAGAUCGGUAGGAACACCCAUGGCGAAGGCAGUCUCCUGGGGCAGUCUUGACGCUGAUGCGCGAAAGCUGGGGGAGCGAAAGGGAUUAGAUACCCCUGUAGUC